AGUGAACGCUGGCGGUAGGCCUAACACAUGCAAGUCGAACGGCAGCACAGUAAGAGCUUGCUCUUACGGGUGGCGAGUGGCGGACGGGUGAGGAAUACAUCGGAAUCUACUUUUUCGUGGGGGAUAACGUAGGGAAACUUACGCUAAUACCGCAUACGACCUACGGGUGAAAGCAGGGGAUCGUCGGACCUUGCGCGAUUGAAUGAGCCGAUGUCGGAUUAGCUAGUUGGCGGGGUAAAGGCCCACCAAGGCGACGAUCCGUAGCUGGUCUGAGAGGAUGAUCAGCCACACUGGAACUGAGACACGGUCCAGACUCCUACGGGAGGCAGCAGUGGGGAAUAUUGGACAAUGGGCGCAAGCCUGAUCCGGCCAUACCGCGUGGGUGAAGAAGGCCUUCGGGUUGUAAAGCCCUUUUGUUGGGAAAGAAAAGCAGCAGGUUAAUACCCCGCUGUUCUGACGGUACCCAAAGAAUAAGCACCGGCUAACUUCGUG
rnacentral:rRNA from 1 species